UACGUAGGUGGCAAGCGUUGUCCGGAUUUACUGGGCGUAAAGAGCGCGCAGGCGGUCGAUCAAGUCGCGUGUGAAAGCCCCCGGCUCAACUGGGGAGGGUCACGCGAUACUGAUCGACUCGAAGGCAGGAGAGGGUAGUGGAAUUCCCGGUGUAGUGGUGAAAUGCGUAGAUAUCGGGAGGAACACCAGUGGCGAAGGCGACACGCUGGGCCGUACCUGACGCUAAAGCGCGACAGCAUGGGGAGCAAACGGGG
rnacentral:rRNA from 1 species